CUUGUACUCCCUCCGUCCGAAAAUACUUGCCAUUGAAAUGGAUGUAUCUAGAUGUAUUUUAGUUCUAGACACAUCCAUUUUCAUGACAAGUAAUUCCGGACAGAGGGAGUACUUG
rnacentral:pre_miRNA from 1 species